GACGCUCCGGAACAGUUACUGGGACAGGCUGUGAGCGACUCACCAGGACAGUUUUAUUUCUGUGCUGAGCUUGCUGCUUCCUGCUGGGAAAAUGUUAGUGGCGGAGUCACACCCAGGUUCCCUGUGUCAUUGCAGGAGGCUGUACUGAUGCUCAUGUUUUGUUUCACAAGCUAAGUCCUUGACAGCAUCAGCUGGGAUCCCAGUCUUCUCUCUCAUGUUACCCAGUGAGAACUCACUCACAUAAAUGUCAGGGGAGAAUACUUGGCCUUCUGUUUCCUGGAUCACUGAAUAAAAUCCCCUAUGAUGA